rnacentral:rRNA from 1 species
GACGAACGCUGGCGGCGUGCUUAACACAUGCAAGUCGAGCGGUAAGGCCCUUUCGGGGGUACACGAGCGGCGAACGGGUGAGUAACACGUGGGUGACCUGCCCUCAGCUCUGGGAUAAGCCUGGGAAACCGGGUCUAAUACCGGAUAUGACUCCAUGACGCAUGUUGUGGGGUGGAAAGCCUUGUGCGGCUGAGGAUGGGCCCGCGGCCUAUCAGCUUGUUGGUGGGGUGANGGCCUACCAAGGCGACGACGGGUAGCCGGCCUGAGAGGGCGACCGGCCACACUGGGACUGAGACACGGCCCAGACUCCUACGGGAGGCAGCAGUGGGGAAUCUUGCGCAAUGGGCGAAAGCCUGACGCAGCGACGCCGCGUGAGGGAUGACGGCCUGUGUAAC